rnacentral:rRNA from 1 species
AUUGAACGCUGGCGGCAGGCUUAACACAUGCAAGUCGAGCGGGGGAAGGUAGCUUGCUACCGGACCUAGCGGCGGACGGGUGAGUAAUGCUUAGGAAUCUGCCUAUUAGUGGGGGACAACAUCUCGAAAGGGAUGCUAAUACCGCAUACGUCCUACGGGAGAAAGCAGGGGAUCUUCGGACCUUGCGCUAAUAGAUGAGCCUAAGUCGGAUUAGCUAGUUGGUGGGGUAAAGGCCUACCAAGGCGACGAUCUGUAGCGGGUCUGGGAGGAUGAUCCGCCACCAUGGGACUGAGACACGGCCGAGACUCCUACGGGAGGCAGCAGUGGGGAAUAUUGGACAAUGGGGGGAACCCUGAUCCAGCCAUGCCGCGUGUGGGAAGAAGGCCUUAUGGUUGUAAAGCACUUUAAGCGAGGAGGAGGCUACUCUAGUUAAUACCUAGGGAUAGUGGACGUUACUCGCAGAAUAAGCACCGGCUAACUCUGUGCCAGCCGCCGCGGUAA